CCUCUGCGACUUCGUUAGGGUUUCCCCUUGAUCCCACUGAGAUUUCUGUUGGUUUUUUAUUUGUACUCCAUUUCAUGGAUGGAGGUGAGGGAUUUGGAGGAGCACACGACAGUGUCUGUGUGAGGGACGAAUGUUAGCAGGGGUCAGCAUGGUGCUUUGUGUAGGUUUCAGACAUUUUCGGGAUGGAUUUUCAUGUUUCUGUUUCGGGAUUGGGGGAAGGUCUCUAUCUAGAAGGGGAUUAUGCCUGUGUGCACUAGGCAAGUGCCGAUCCGACGCUGGAGAUGAGUCAAUCAGGUGUGCAUGUUUCUGGAAUGGGAUUAUGCAUGCGUGAGGGAGGGGGUUGGUAGUUUUUUGCUUUUUUUAUGGUGAGACCAGGUAGGGUCGAUCCCAUGUUUUGGCACACAGUUUAGGUUUGCUGGUGUGCGCGCGCGAAUCUACUCUCCAGGUGCUAGGUUUUUAGUUCAUUUUUCUUGCUCCAUUUUUGCAGAAAUCAGAUGCAUUUCUAGCAUGAAAAAACUACUUUUCCCAUGUUUUGGUUGUUCGAAUGGAAUACAGGCCACAGAUCAUGAACUCAGCAUAUUUAAGUCAAGGACAAAUGGCAAUCUAGGUGCUUAUAGGUACUAAAAGAAGAAAAAUAUUCUGGCUCAUUAUUGUUGUUGACAGGUUCGAUCUGUCUAUACUCACUAUUUUUCUUGGUGUUUAGGACUUUUUCUAAUCACACAUGAUAUUGUUGUGUAUUAUAUGUUUCUGUUUGUGUAGACAUCUUUAUUGUUACUAAUAAAUGCGAUUUGGUUCUAGGUAGGUUAUGAAUGAUAUCCAAUAGGUAUUACUAAAGUUGGGUCAUUUUGAUUUCAGCCCAUGGGUUUAUGGGUUACCAUGCUCUAGUGUUUUAGUAGACUUUUUUUUUGCCUUACCUCUUUAAACCAUUUGUCAAUUAUAACUUGGGUUUCCUUUUUCAAUUAAUGAUUUUCUUUUAGUUACAGUUUAUAAUUAUAUAAGUUUACAUUAUAAAAUUUGAUAUAGCUCAAACGUAAUCUGUAUGUAAUUAUAUUUUUAAACUUCAUUUUGCUUACUUUUUUUCUUAUGGUUUAUUCUUGCUUCUAGUAUAGUUUGAUGCUCUCUUACCCGUUAUUAUUCAUUUUUGUUGUAUGUACAUGUUUCCGCUUAUGUUCAUGUUGAAGAAGGAUUUCUGAAGCCAGCAGCUUUGUUCGACUUGUCCCCACCAGCCUGACCCCUUUGAACUGCUUCUAGUUUUGCUUCCCGCUUGCCACCUAGUGGUAGCAUGUAUUCCUUUUCUGAUUUUUCUUUUUAUGACUUUUGGGCAGCUGCUCUGAAUUUGUUAUGUAACUUGAAUUAGCACUUAUUUUGUCUUUUCUCUCCAAUUUAUUUUUUUUAUCUUGGGUGUGUCUUGUUGGUAUAUGGUAUGAAAUACAACAUCAUUUUCAUACGAAUUGAUGGUGUGGUGUGUCUGUGGGGGGAGGGUGUUGGGGGAUUCUAAAUAAUUUUAUGAUUUCUGUUAUGUUCUAGCUUUAGUACCUUAUCAUAAGAUGGACAUUUAAUUUUUGUGUUUUGUUACCUCAUGGGUGGCGUUAUCCUCUUAUGUCUAGCAAGAAUAUGUUCGCACCUGAAUAAAUUUCUGCAACUCAUCUGUUGGAGCUUUUUAGUACCUUAUCAUAACUCAUUACAUGUAGAUGUGGUUGUGCUAUUUGCUUUUUUGGUUUACCCGAGCAGAGCUCGUCAAGCACUUUUUGAGAGCUUUGACUAUAAUUUAUCUACCUUUCCACAAGAUUUGUAACUAGAGAAAUUUAUUGUGCAAUGUGGGUUUGUUUGAACUCUGUCAAACACUUUUUUUGAGAGUUUUGACUCAUUUUUUCUACCUUUUCCAUAAGAUUUUGACAAGAUAAAUUUACAUUCAAAUGAUUGGAUAAAAGAUAAUUUUGCUAGGUUGAAGGCAUGAGUAGCAGUAUUCAAUUUGAUUUAGUUUCAAAAAUAAAAUCAGUUACUCCAUAACUUCAGUUAUGGUACUUUUUACUGCAAAUUUUUAUAGUGUUACUGCAUCUGUAUAUCAACUUUCAUGGUGUAUCUAGUAUUUGGACACAUGCAAUUCUUGUAAUAAAGUUAGAGCAAGGUAGAGAUGGAUAUUUCUGACCAGUUGAUUUGUGAUUUUAGUUUGUUUCUUUUCUUUUAGUACAAUUUCAUCCAGUGUAAUAUUUUUGCAACUUUAAUUGUAGUUUUAGUGUUAGUGGCUUGCAAUGCAGACUAGCAUCUUCAUUGAUGUAUUUGGCUUAUGCUCGUGGAUCCAUGACAUGGAUGUAUUCGAUUUGUUGUUUGGUUUAGAUUCAGAUAGGGGAUUCCAGUUUUACAAGGCUGUCAUUUCUGCAUAUCAUCUAGUCUCAUGCCUAAAAUGUUCUGUUAAAACUAUGAUCCAUUUCUUCACUAAGCAAGACAUUAGCAAUAGUUCCUUUUUUUCAUAUCAGCUGCUCGCCUGGAUAUGUGGUUUUUGUUUCCCAGUGCACUUUUCUUCCAUUUUUUCAAUUAAGUUACUGUCACUUGAACUUUGUAAUUGUUAUAGCUGACUUUAUUUUUUCAUAUCAACCGCUCGCCUGGGCCUAGAACUUUCUGCUUUAAGUUUACCUUAAGUUACUGUCACAUGAACUGUGUAAUUGUUAUAGCUGACUUUAUUUUUCUUUUUGCCCUGCAGUUGUUUGGGAUUUAAGGAACCAGAAACUACUGACUAGUUGUGAAAGGGAAUUUCUGCUUCAGCCUACAACGUACUGCUAGGGAGUCGGCGCAUAUGCUAACAGAGAUUGGAUCCUCCGAAGUUCAGCUAGUAUGUAAUUUGUCCUUUCAAGAGCCAGACAUACUUCCGAGGCAACAUCAACAAAACAUUUUGAAAGAUUGGAUCUGAAAGUCAAAGACAACAGAAAAUCAAUGGAUCUUUUAGGGGGAGAACAAGGGUUUACCGCCACCGUACCAUUGCAGCCUGGGCAAUGCUGCUGUUCUUUUGUGCCCAAAUUCUCUCCAUCCGUUGCCUUAUUUUGCUUUUUGGGAGGGGAUCCUCCGUGCCCACAUGUGAGAAGAAGAAAAAAAAGGUUUGGGUGAGGAGAGGAGGGGGGUGGCCAUGAACAGAUCUUGUCUUUUCUUUUUUUCCUUGUGUAUUUUUUUACAGAAAAAUGAUCAGGCUUGUGACUUUAUAUAGACGGGAUUGGGGGCUUCAAGUCUUUCUUGGCGGGCUGCUUAGGAAAAAUCCCCGCCAGACUUGUUUUUGUUCUUUUUUAUUUUAUACACAAAUUUCUGGGCCUCGUCUAUUUUUUGUGCUAA